GACGAACGCUGGCGGCGUGCUUAACACAUGCAAGUCGAACGGAAAGGCCCUGCUUUUGUGGGGUGCUCGAGUGGCGAACGGGGGAGUAACACGUGAGGAACCUGCCCUUGACUGUGGGAUAACUUCAGGAAACGGGGGCUAAUACCGGAUAGGAGCUCCUGCUGCAUGGUGGGGGUUGGAAAGUUUCGGCGGUUGGGGAUGGACUCGCGGCGGAUCAGCUUGUUGGGUGGGUAGUGGCUUACCAAGGCUUUGACGGGUAGCCGGCCUGAGAGGGUGACCGGCCACAGUGGUCCUGCGAUCCGGCCCAGACUCCUACGGGAGGCAGCAGUGUCGAAUAUUGCACCCUGGGCGGAAGCCUGCUGCCGCACCCCCGCGUGCGGGAUGACGGCCUUCGGGUUGUAAACCGCUUUCGCCUGUGACGAAGCGUGAGUGACGGUAAUGGGUAAAGAAGCACCGGCUAACUACGUG
rnacentral:rRNA from 1 species